rnacentral:rRNA from 1 species
ACUCCUACGGGAGGCAGCAGUGAGGAAUAUUUGCACAAUGGGCGAAAGCCUGAUGCAGCCAUGCCGCGUGAAUGAAGAAGGUUUUCGGACUGUAAAGUUCUUUCAGUGGUGAGAAUAGUGAUCGUUAACCACAGAAGAAGUCCCGGCUAACUCCGUGCCAGCAGCCGCGGUAAUACGGAGGGGGCGAACGUUAUUCGGAUUUACUGGGCGUAAAGCGAUCGUAGGCGGAAUGUUAAGUUAGAUGUGAAAGCCCUGGGCUCAACCCGGGAACUGCAUUUAAAACUGGCAAUCUAGAGUGUUGGAGAGGAUGACGGAAUU